UUAGGAAUUUUCGACAAUGGGGGGAACCCUGAUCGAGCGACACUGCGUGAAGGAUGAAGGUCUUCGGAUUGUAAACUUCUAAUAGAGGGACGAUGAUGACGGUACCUCUUGAUUAGCACCGGCUAACUCCGUGCCAGCAGCCGCGGUAAUACGGAGGGUGCGAGCGUUAUCCGGAAUCACUGGGCGUAAAGGGCAUGUAGGUGGUUUGUUAAGUCUGGCGUUAAAGGCUGGGGCUCAACCCUGGUAUGGCGUUGGAUACUGGCAGGCUUGACGGUUGGAGAGGCGAGUGGAAUUGCCAGUGUAGCGGUGGAAUGCGUAGAUACUGGUAGGAACACCUAUUGCGAAGGCAGCUCGCUGGACAACUCGUGACGCUGAGGUGCGAAAGUGUGGGGAGCAAACCGG
rnacentral:rRNA from 1 species